GAGCUACUGAUGCUACUGCACCACAUGUGUUUUUCUUUGAAACAAACUUGCUUUGGCGGUGGGCCCAGCCUGCCGCCAGAGGUCUAAACUUACAACCAAUUUUUUAUUAACUUGUCACACCAGAUUAUUACUAAUAGUCAAAACUUUCAACAACGGAUCUCUUGGUUCUCGCAUCGAUGAAGAACGCAGCGAAAUGCGAUACGUAAUAUGAAUUGCAGAUAUUCGUGAAUCAUCGAAUCUUUGAACGCACAUUGCGCCCUCUGGUAUUCCGGAGGGCAUGCCUGUUUGAGCGUCGUUUCUCCCUCAAACCGCUGGGUUUGGUGUUGAGCAAUACGACUUGGGUUUGCUUGAAAGACGGUAGUGGUAAGGCGGGAUCGCUUUGACAAUGGCUUAGGUCUAACCAAAAACAUUGCUUGCGGCGGCAACGUCUACCACGUAUAUCUUCAAACUUUGACCUCAAAUCAGGUAGGACUACCCGCUGAACUUAAGCAUAUCAAUAAGCGGAGGAA
rnacentral:rRNA from 1 species